rnacentral:rRNA from 3 species
AACCUGCGGAAGGAUCAUUCA